AUGUAUAACAUAUGUGUUUGCUUGUAUGUGUGCGCCACAAGAUAUGCUAUACAGUGCUGCCUAUGUAUCUACAGUAUAUUCAUCAGCAAUGUAAUUGAACCUCUACUUCAUUGCCCUCCCUCCCCUCCCUACAGCUACCUGGUACAGGUGGGAGAGGUAACUUAUCAAUGCUACAGCUACCUGGUACAGGUGGGAGAGGUAACUUAUCAACGCUACAGCUACCUGGUACAGGUGGGAGAGGUAACCUAUCAAUGCUACAGCUACCUGGUACAGGUGGGAGAGGUAACCUAUCAACGCUACAGCUACCUGGUACAGGUGGGAGAGGUAACCUAUCAACGCUACAGCUACCUGGUACAGGUGGGAGAGGUAACCUAUCAACGCUACAGCUACCUGGUACAGGUGGGAGAGGUAACCUAUCAACGCUACAGCUACCUGGUACAGGUGGGAGAAGUAACUUAUCAACGCUACAUCUACCUGGUGCAGGUGGGAGAGGUAAACUUAUCAACGCUACAGCUACCUGGUACAGGUGGGAGAGGUAACGUAUCAAUGCUACAGCUACUUGGUACAGGUGGGAGAGGUAACUUAUCAACGCUACAUCUACCUGGUGCAGGUGGGAGAGGUAACUUAUCAACGCUACAGCUACCUGGUACAGGUGGGAGAGGUAACUUAUCAACGCUACAGCUACCUAGUACAGGUGGGAGAGGAAUUGUCAAUGCUACAGUUACCUGGUACAGGUGGGAGAGGUAACUUAUCAACGCUACAGCUACCUGGUACAGGUGGGAGAGGUAACCUAUCAAUGCUACAGCUACCUGGUGCAGGUGGGAGAGGUAACCUAU
rnacentral:lncRNA from 1 species